AUGGCCCAUUUCCACUGUGGGUGGAAAGGCAGGGGUCCCAGAGUUCUGCACCCUGCCUUAUACCCACUCUGCUUCAUGUCACCAGGCUACUGGAGUCCCUCAGAGUUGCUGAUCUGCUCUGACACUCACUCGCCUGCCCACCCUGCUCUGACCCACCUGAUCCUCACACCCGCCUGGUUACCUUUUCACCAUUUUGAGAGGAGAGGCCCAAGUCCAACAGUGAGAGUCAGAAAGGCAGUUGGAGGCCCUCGUGGUCACUGACCUGCUCUGACGCCUGCUCAUCUGUCUGCCCAACCUUCUUUGACCCACUUGAUUCCCCCACCUGACUGCUUACCUUCUUACCAUCUUGAGAGGAGAGGCCCACAUCCAACAACAGUUGGAGGCCCUCGUGGUCACUGACCUGCUCUGACGCUCACUCACCUGCCUGCCCUGCUCUGACCCACCUGAUCCCCACACCCGCCUGGUUACCUUGUUACCAUCUUGAGGAGAGGCCCACAUCUAACAGCGAGAGUCAGAAAGGCAGUUGGAGGCCCUGUGGUCUCUGACCUGCUCUGACGCUCCUCCAUUUCUC
rnacentral:lncRNA from 9 species